rnacentral:rRNA from 1 species
AUACGGAGGGUCCAAGCGUUAUCCGGAAUCAUUGGGUUUAAAGGGUUCGCAGGCGGUCAAUUAAGUCAGAGGUGAAAGCCCAUCGCUCAACGAUGGAACUGCCUUUGAUACUGGUUGACUUGAGUUAUACGGAAGUAGAUAGAAUAAGUAGUGUAGCGGUGAAAUGCAUAGAUAUUACUUAGAAUACCGAUUGCGAAGGCAGUCUACUACGUAUAUACUGACGCUGAGGGACGAAAGCGUGGGGAGCGAACAGGAUUAGAAACCCCAGUAGUCC